rnacentral:lncRNA from 1 species
GAGCUGUAGAAAUGUCUUUCUAGCAUGAGCUCAGGAGUAGCUGGAAGAAGCUGCAGCUAAAGAGAGCCUGGGAUAUGCACAGCUGUUCUUAUUUCCAGCUGUUUUUUGUAUGUUCCAUGGGUGGAGCAGAUGUUGAUAGCUGUUCCCUUAUAAAAUAUGUAAUACUGUACUUUAUGACCUAAUAUAUUUUCCAGUCCCGGGGCCUGAUCCAGAGUCCACUUAGCUCUCUGAGCAGGCUUCCAGCAGCACCAGUAGAGCUCUAUCAAAUUCUUAAUGAACCAAUGCAAGUGAGAGAUUUAAAAGAACUGCUGGAGCAAACGAGACAACGUGGGGCUCGGGAUCCCAGCUCGGUGCAGCUGGCUGAUCUGUAUCAAGUUGGACCCAAACUUUCAUCACAUAUUAAGGCAAACUCCCAUCAUAUGCAGUGGGCUAAAUUCUCUUCUCAUUUACAUGGAAAUGGGAGGGUUGAUGGAUAUUGUAUGCAGGUCACAAUGUCAGAUUUCCAAUCAGAUCAUCAAAAUUAA